CCUUUAGAAGACCUUGAAGAGAAUAAACAAGAAGACAAAAAAAGAAAGACGCCAAUUAGAAGAACACAGGCGUUUGUUUCUACCUCCUGCAAAUGGUGACCCCGACGUGGCCCUGAGAGCGCAGAAGACGCAGCAGGAGAAGCCCUGGUUGGAGGUACUGCUGUCGGCGGGACCAAAGCAGGGAAGCUGAGCCUAGGCUAAGAAGACACCUGAAAGGAAGCUGUAUGGGCAACAGCACAGACAGGAGAAACAAGUCGACAUGUCCAGCGACACCUGCGUUUGGCUUUUGCAGCACACGGCAUUCCACUUCAGAUAAAAACUGACAAUGGGCCAUGCUACAUCGCACAGACAACUCAAAAGUUUUUUAGUCAAUGGGGUAAUAUUGUACAUACCAUGGGUAUACCACAUUCCCCUACAGGCCAGGCAAUUGUAAAACGCAUGAAUCAGAUUUUGAAAUGCCAACUGGAAAAACAAAAAGGGGGAGAGCAGAUGGCUACUCCUCACGAACGAUUGAACAAAGUUGUAUAUGUGUUGAAUUACUUGAGAUUGACAGAUGGCGAAAGUGUACCACCAAUUGUAAAACAUGUGCAAGGCAUGGUAGGAGAUUUGUUUGACAUUAAUAGCAAUGUUCAAGUUAGGGUUAAAAAUGUUGAGAAAAAUGUAUGGGAAGGACCAUUUCAAUUAAUAACCUGGGGACGAGGU